GGGGCCGUAGCUCAGUUUGGGAGAGCGCUACCAUGGCACGGUAGAGGUCGUGGGUUCAAGUCCCAUCGGCUCCACCA
rnacentral:tRNA from 6 species